AUGAAGACCGCAUCACCUUCACAGGUGCGCCAGAACUACCACCAGGAUUCAGAGGCCACCAUCAACUGCCAGAUCAACCUGGAGCUCUGCGCCUCCUGUGUUCACCUGUCCAUGUCUUACUACUUUGACGCGAUGAUGUGGCUUUGAAGAACUUUGCCAAGUACUUUCUUCAGCAAUCUCAUGAGGAGAGGGAACAUGCCGAGAAACUGAUGAAGCUGCAGAACCAACGAGGUGACCGCGUCUUCCUUCAGGAUAUCAAGAAACCAGACCAUGAUGACGGGGAGAGUGGGCUGAAUGCGAUGGAGUGUGUAUUACAUUUGGAAAAAAAUGUGAAUCAGUCACUACUGGAACUGCACAAACUGACCACUGACAAAAAUGACCCCCAUUUGUGUGACUUCAUUGAGACACAUUACCUGAAUGAGCAGGUGAAAUCCAUCAAAGAAUUGGGUGACCACGUGACCAACUUGCACAAGAUGGGGGCACCCCAAUCUGACUUGGCAGAAUAUCUCUUUGACAAGCACACCAUGGGAGACAGCGAAAAUGAAAGCUAAGCCUUAGGCUAAUUUCCCCAUUGCCAACGGGUGACUUCCCUGGUCACCAAGGCAGUGCAUGCAUGUUGGGAUUUCCUUCACCUUUUCUAUAAGUUGUACCAAAACACCCACUUAAGUUCUUUGUACCAUUCCUUUAAAUAAAGAAAUUUGGUAC